UCAUAUCUUACCAACCUCUACAACUAAGAGAUGAUGCCAUUUUUGGAGAACAACCAACCCAGAUCUUGAAAAGGAAAGAACAUAUUCUAAAGAAUAAACUUAUAUCUUUGGUAAAGAUUUGUUGGUAAUACCAUUCAGGAGGCAAUGUGGGAAAGAGAAACAGAUAUGUGAGAGCAAUAUCCUCAUCUAUUAUAUUAAGGUGAGCUAAAUUUGGG
rnacentral:lncRNA from 1 species